CGGGCAGGAGCGCCGCGGAGCGCGCGUGGUGCUGAACGCGCUGCCGGGCAGUCGCUGCUGCUCCGCACCAGCCCGAUCCACGCGCUUGCCUCACCCCCUUCCUCCGCUCUUCCCUCCCGCCCCAGCCCGGGAACCAGCCCCCUCCUCCGCCGGUAUCCGUAUUCCUGCUUUUCUGCCCAACAGCAGAGAAAGCCAAACCAGAGGGGGUCAGCCACGACACCCCUGCGCGAGAGCCGUGCAGAGGACCCAUCGCUGCUGUCCCACGUGGGGACGCUCAGUCCCGUCUCCUCCCCUGCCGCCGCGCGCAGCCAUGGCCUAGGCAAAGCCCCUGCACAACUCGGAGCACAAGUAGAGCCAGGCCGGCGCGCGCCCACGCUCGGGGCUGCCGCUCGUCCUCCGGCGUGUCUCAUCCUCUUCCUCAACCCUUCAGUCAAAGCAUCUUUCUGGGAAGUGGCUUCUGGGACCACAGUGCGAUUGAAGUGUUUUGUUUUUAAAUUAAAAAAAACAAAACAAAACCAAAAAACCCCCCAGAAAGUCCCUUCCAAAGAAGUUGGGAAAUACUGCAAAAGGCCACUGACAAAACGAAGACGUCAUGAUUUUGCAACCCUCUUCCGUAUGUACGUGAAGGAAAUGCCAUGGGAGCCGCGGGCUCCAGCCGGCUCCGAGCGGCCAGGAGGAACAGCGCAGGCAGGAUGGCGGCAGCUCCUGCGCGAGAGCGGCGCCUCAAAACGAGGGGGGUCCCGUCCAGCCCCCCCCGCCCGGCUCCCCGCGCAGGGCGGUCGCACGCACCCGAUUCCCCGGUUCGGACGACUCCACUCGCGCGGUUUCUCCCGGGAAGCCCCCGCACAGCCUCGGCGCUCACCACGGGCGGCUCCUUCCCCUGCACCGACAUGCAACUCUUUCCUGAACUUUAUUCCUCAAUUAGACGUUUCGCCUCUCCGCAACCCCCCACGCCUAGCGCCUUCCCUCUCUCCGUGUUCAGGCUUUUCAGGCUUUCCGCGAGGCACACGGAGGCGCGGGGCACGGGGAAGCUGA
rnacentral:lncRNA from 1 species